UUUUUUACAUCUGUUCCUGCACAAUAUGGUGUAAAUCAUCCUCUUGAAAUUCUCUGCAGGAGAUACUAAAGCCCUAAAGCUGUAGGAGUGCAGCUUACACGAAUAAAUGCGGUAAUGACCAGUUACUUAAGUUUGUUGUUUUGAUUCUUUGACUAAUAAACAUGCCUGCCAAUGUUUAUUCCAGUCAAAUGCAAUACACGUUGAGACAACUCACGUAAGAGGAAAAUAACCAGAAGUGUCUUCCGUCCUCCCUUGAGAGAGCAUUGAUGGUCAACAUAUAGUUAUUGAAAGAUGUAUAUGACGUAAUGCAAGUCUAAAAUCUUUUGUUAAACCUUGCUUUCUACAGGUGUAAUCGUGACUCCAUAAUCUUUGACUAUUGAGAUAUUUUUUUGACCCUGUAUUUUAUUGUGUUCUCCAGUUUGACAAGCAAUGUGGUGUAGAGUUUCCUGAGCGAGCAUGUCAAUGGUGGCGGGUUUUUAUGAUUAGGAUUUUCGUGUUUGCCUGUUCCUAUGGAGUGACUGAGGACUAAUGCAUCGGUGUAGGCUUGGGAUUGCAGCGGUUGUACCUACAAAAGUGGCAGAAAGCAAUGCUAAAAUUAUAUUGAAGCUUUCAUCAAGACAAACAAUAAAGUGGCAAAGGAUAAUUUGGUUUUAGUUUCUGCUGAAUGAUGGUUUUAUGAUGUAUCAAACAUUGAUGGAGUCAUCUGUUGGAGAAAACAAUCAUGCCAUAUGAUAUUGUUUAUUUUUUCAUUAGCAGUCAUAUUGUCUCCCAACAACCUGCACUACAUUAUAAUUCUCAAGACAACUAGGAAGAAAUGUGAUACAUUUAUUUUCUUAUUUUCUUAUUAUCUCCUAAAUACUCAAUGUAGUAUAUUCAAUUGGGCAAAUUAUCGCUUAGGUUGAAGUGAAAUUGCAUUUUAUGAUGCGAAUAUCAUAGCGUUGUUUUUUUAAGUGCAAAGUUUACAUUUAUGUGUGAAUGGUAAUAACCCAGCAAGGAGCUUAUCUAUUGCACUAAUCUUAGUUGAGCUAUUAUCAUGUUGAGCAGGCCCUGUUUACUAUCUGCCAUUUAGGUUUUCUUAUUUACUUUUUCUUCCAUAGAUCCAAAUCUUUCUUGAUGUGAUCGGUUCAACUUGUGCAAAUUUGCUUGAUUUGUUUUUUAUUGGGCUUGGGAUAGUUGUUCGCCCCUGCUGCGUGGUAGGUAAAGUAUUAUCUUAUUUACUAUAAGUGGCUGCUAAAUAAGAGGAAUGCAUCCAGUAGUGUAGAAAUUUCAGAUAUGCUCUUGAGCAUGCAAGUGCUUUGGAGAAAUACAUUAGCUUAGAGGAGUGUGAGGCCCCGCCAGUGG